rnacentral:rRNA from 1 species
AGAACGAACGCUGGCGGCAUGCCUAACACAUGCAAGUCGAACGAGACCUUCGGGUCUAGUGGCGCACGGGUGCGUAACGCGUGGGAAUCUGCCCCUUGGUUCGGAAUAACAGUUAGAAAUGACUGCUAAUACCGGAUGACGACGUAAGUCCAAAGAUUUAUCGCCGAGGGAUGAGCCCGCGUAGGAUUAGCUAGUUGGUGAGGUAAUGGCUCACCAAGGCGACGAUCCUUAGCUGGUCUGAGAGGAUGAUCAGCCACACUGGGACUGAGACACGGCCCAGACUCCUACGGGAGGCAGCAGUGGGGAAUAUUGGACAAUGGGCGAAAGCCUGAUCCAGCAAUGCCGCGUGAGUGAUGAAGGCCUUAGGGUUGUAAAGCUCUUUUACCAGGGAUGAUAAUGACAGUACCUGGAGAAUAAGCUCCGGCUAACGUCCGCGCCAGCAGCCGC